GAACCACACGGUCUGAUUUCCUCAGAUCUGAGGCUGAGUUUGCAGAGGCAGCAGUUAGAGGGGAAAUAAUUUUGACUUUUCCCUCAGCCAAUUUGAUCUGGAAAUUGUUGAGAGCAAAUAAAUAUGGAAUCCCACCGUGGAAUUUCUGCAGUCACUCUCCAGCUACAACCACUUCUCUUUUUUUCCUGAGCAUCAGUGAUUUGUAUUUGGCACAUGUAAAAAAUCAGCUAAUCCCCAAAGCCAUGCCUGACUGAUCAAUUACACAACUAAUACCUUUUCCAGAGGUCAUCUUAAGAGAUGAAUAAUCCCUUCCAAAAUUUCCCAACCUGCAGCACGGGGAGAUUUGUUAUUUGGCUUUCUGCAGCUUUCCUGGAAAGGUCAGAGUGCCCCAGCCCUGGGCUGGCAACAGGAACACACAGCAGUGGAUCCCAGACUGUUCUCCAGGUGACCAACGACCUUUAGCAGCAAAGGCUGUGCAAUACAGCUGCUCUCUUUUUUUUUUAUUUCCAAGAAAACAACUGUUAACUGACCCUGGACUUGUCCUCAUAGGUGAAGGUACCUGCACACACACGUCAGCCCAGCAGGUCUAUCCCAGCCUGGCUCCUCACUCUGCAAACAGCCCCAGUGCUCCUCAUGCCCCAAAGACUUUCCCAAACAGUAAUAAAAUGGGAGAGGCCAUGGGGCUUCCCACUCUAAACUCUGUUUUUUAAGCAGGAAAGUCUAGCAGGGCUCUCCACUCUCCACACAACAGCCAGGAAAGCCAUGGCACUGCCUCUUUUUUAGCUGAAGAUCAGGCAGCUCAGAGGUGGUGGGAAAGAAUGGACACCAGCUCGGAUUCCUGGCUGGAAUUCCUCAGACUGGAGGGUCCUGGAGAAAACAGAAAGCUCCGAGUCUCUAGGCUGGGCAUCACCUCUGGGCAUCUUUGGUCAUGCACCAGUUUUUCCUCCUGGCUUUCAUCUGGCAGACAGAUGGGGGAAAAAUAUCCACAAAUCCCAUCCACACCCAUCCUCCUGUUACAGAGGUGCUGACCUGUGAGAAUGGCCUGAGGGAAGGCAGAGAAAAGAACAAAACUUCCAGUGCAAGGACAGCUGGGGACUCGGACUGAAAGCUCUGGAGGAAGGAGGGAAAAGCAACUCAGAACAGCCAGCGCCGCCACCACCUGCCCUGCUGGCAUCUCACACCAUACUGCAAGCUGGGUUAUUCCCGGGUAUGUCGUGCCCCCCGGCACACCUUGGAGGUGGGAAUCUGCAGAGACCCAGGCACACGUGAGGGCUGGGCACUGGAACAUUCCAAACACCCUGCAACGGCUCGAUCCCGCCUGAGGAACCCAGCACCCCUGGGUGCGUUGUGUCUGAAUUUCACCAUCGGUGCAGCCUUUGUUUUAGUGCCUGACAAAGAUACAGGGAGGGGAGCUUUAAAAACUGUUUUUCAGAUGCAGGUUGGAGAGGAUGAAAGCCCUCGCUGUGUUAUUCCCUGACUUGAUCCUCUCUUCAAUCCAGGGCAGCGUCGUCACUGGAUGCCUGCACCUCUGCGAGAGCACAGACCCAGGAAAUUUAUACUCUGCUUAAUUAAAUCUGUGCCUUUUACUUAUUGGCACCUCUUCCGAGA